UCUGGGAGGAGGGAAAAGACAGAGGAAAGGUCCUGUGUCUCCUUAGGGCUGAUAGACACAGUGCACAGUGUCCCCAGCUCUCCCUUGACAGGGCUUUGGACACAACUUUCUGAGUCUCAGUGUCACCAUGUGGCAAAUGAGUAGGUACCACAAGAGGCAAAAUGUCAAAGAAAUCAUCUUUAGCACACCUUCUUUGUAGGGUUAGUGUGGUCCUGGGGCAAUCUGCCAGUAUCCUGGCUGGUGGCCCUAUCAUAGGCCAUGCUUCCUCUGCAUUUCCUUCCAUAGCUACCUGGAAGUCAGAACCCAGGUUCCAGAGCUGGGCAGUCAAAGGCUCUGUGCUAGGCAUGUGACCUCCAGCCCGUCUGUGGCUCUCUGUGCCUUCCCAGUAGCGUCCCGUAGCUUCCAGGCCCUAGAGCAGACCCAGCCCCCUACUUCCCUCUUCAUCCCUAUCUCCCCUCAGACCUGCUUAGCCUCUCCCAGGCCCUCGGAAUGCACUGGGUGGCCUUCUUGUCUUUCCCUCUGGGACGAACACCACUUGUUCCAGGUCUCGGUACGGCUAUCCCCACCCUGGACCAGGCCUUUGUUCUGACCCUCUAGCCACCUUCCAUAGCUGUCCCACCAGGGAUCACUGCUGUGACUAUCUGGGUGCUGGCCUCCACUCAGUCUCACACUCAACUGUGGAGAUCUGGGAGAGGUGACGGUCUUGUGUUCUCUGCUGUCUCCCCAGUGCCCUCGACAACACAACGGCUGCUGGCCUGCCUCUUGGCAAUGCUACGUCCCUUAGGACCCAAGGUCUGGGUCCGUGCCCACUGCGGGACCCAGUUCUGAGCCAGCCCAUGACUCAAACACUCAGCUGCCAGCUUGGGACCAGAGGGGAAGUAGCUGGUGGAUUUAAGAAAAAGGCCAGGGAGGGUGUCUGGGAUAUAAGUGCAAAUGCCUUUGGGGGAUGGUUCCCAAAGCGGGCAUCCCUUACAGAGGAUAAAGCCUCUGAAGGCUGCUGGUUUUUUUGUUUUUUUGUUUUUUUGUUUGUUUGGUUGGUUGGUUGGUUUUUGGUUUUUCGAGACAGGGUUUCUCUGUGGCUUUAAGGCUGUCCUGGAACUAGCUCUUGUAACCAGACUGGCAUCGAACUCACAGACUGCCUCUGCCUCCCGAGGGCUAGGAUUAGGCUGCUGUAUCUUAAAGUCCAUCCAUCAUGGCACAGAUGGAGAAACUGAGACCUAAGAAGGAAGGAACCAGAACAGCUUCUCAAAGCUACUCGGUGACGGGGCCAAAACUCAGAACUGGAGGUCAGAGACCCUUAGGUUUGAGUCCCAGAUCUGCUGUACCCUGGCAACUCCUUACUGGAGUAGGAAACACCGAGGGUUCCAGGGAACCAAGAGCUCAGUUGGGGUCUGGCCACAACAUCCUUCCCACGUCUGGCAGGCUAGCAGAGGGGUGAGGAGAGGUGGUGUCUCCAGGCUAGGCUUCAUCUAUGUCAAGGGUACCUCCUAGCCAUUGCUCCUUGUCCUGGGACAGAAAGCCUCCUCCCCACCAUCCCAAUGUCCACCCAGUGUUACACUGCCCCCUCACGAUGUUGCCACCAUGGCUGCCCACUGUAAGCCUAAUGACCCACCCACAACAUGCCUCCAGUUGGAGGCCAGCCUUUAUUAAAAGCAGAAGCUAGGUGAUGAAAAUAUUCUAAAACUGUUGUGACAAUGGAUAUGCUGUGAAUAUAUGAAAGCCUACAGAACUGUACUGUUUAAAUGGUAAAAUCCAUAGUGUGACAUACAGCUCAAUAAAGCUUUUAUAACA